CGAGACCUCAGGUCAGACGGGGCUACCCGCUGAGUUUAAGCAUAUCAAUAAGCGGAGGAAAAGAAACUAACAAGGAUUCCCUUA
rnacentral:rRNA from 1 species